rnacentral:tRNA from 1 species
GCUGGAUUAGCUCAGCUGGCUAGAGCAUUCCCAUGGUAAGGGAAAGGUCCCGAGUUCAAGUCUCGGAUCCAGCU